UACAGGGGGGGCAAGCGUUGUUCGGAAUUACUGGGCGUAAAGGGCUCGUAGGUGGCCAACUAAGUCAGACGUGAAAUCCCCAGGCUUAACCUGGGAACUGCGUCUGAUACUGGAUGGCUUGAAUUCGGGAGAGGGAUGCAGAAUUCCAGGUGUAGCGGUGAAAUGCGUAGAUAUCUGGAGGAAUACCGGUGGCGAAGGCGGCAUCCUGGACCGAGAUUGACACUGAUGAGCGAAAGCUAGGGGAGCAAACGGG
rnacentral:rRNA from 1 species